rnacentral:tRNA from 1 species
GGCAGUUUAGCUUAAUGGUAAAGCAUUUGGCCAGAGUCUUCAAGAAAUGUGGAUUCAUGUUCCAUGGCUGUUU